GGCGACUGUGGUGGUUCAGGGGUAGAGCAAAUGUUCAGCAUGUCAAAGGUCCCAGGUUCAAUCCCUGCCAUUGCCA
rnacentral:tRNA from 1 species